CUACAGAAGUGAAAAUUUCAGCAAUUUCAGAGGAUUCGUUUGAGUGUGUGACAGAAGCUAACCCAAAUGCAAAAUUCACCUGGAUCAGAUCUGGCCAGUCUUUGCUGGAGUCUGCUGUCAAAGUAGACGGUGCAAACCUACAACUGCUCAGCCUGACGUCUGAUCUAAAUGGACUCUAUCAGUGUGAAGCAUCUAACGCAUAUGGAAGUAAACACGGUCAGCUCUAUGUGCAUGUGACAUCAGGAACAAGCCGUGUUGCCUGGGCAUUAUUUCUUGUUUUGCUUUCCCUGAAUGUUGGGGCUGCAGCAUGGUACUUUUAUAAAUCUGGACGUUUUAAAAGCUGUGUGAGCAAAUAAGGGACAACAUCUGGACCGAUGCCUCCACCAACGUGUCAUUCCACAGUCAACUGGUAAACAUACAGAUGAAUAGAUGGAGGUAUUUGGUAACCUUUCCUACCCGCGAAUCCCUUUUAUUUUGUGAUUCAGGUUUAUAAAUGUUUUUGUCUUACUUUAAAAUUGCAGUAAUUGCAUAAAUACACGCAAAACAUUGGUAACUGACUCCCACUCUCCUUGCAUGUCACUCCCACUGCCACAGCAUUUUGGAUGUGGUUUUUACUGCCUGUUCCUGUUGUCAUGAACAACUUAAGCAGUAUUUGGGAUCCAUACUGUUUCCACCAACAGUUUGAAGUGCUUUCAUCUGCAGUUGGCUGUUGAUAGCAGUUAUAUUAAUGUGGUUACAGCUGUUUUUGUUUUUCCCCAUCUACUUAUUAUUACUACCCUUCAUGAAGGGUAACAAUGUUAAUUGUAUAUUUUUAGGUUUAAAAUGUACAGUACCAGCACAAGUUUAGACACACAGCCUGUUCAUAUUAAACAAAAGAUGUAUCAGCAGUACACCACGAAAGCCCACGCAGACAGUGGGUUCAAAACAGCUCGCAGACAGUACAAACACUCACACCAGACAACACCUUGAAUGCAGUCUGUCUGUCUGGUGUAUAAUUACUACUGAGCAACCAAAGCUGAGGGUGCAAACAGUUGCUCUGUAAUUUCAACCAGUAUCAUUAGUAUAUAAUUUUAUAACUAUGCAGCCCUGCCUUUGUCCUUUUUAUUUAAAAAAAAAAAAAAAGGAAUCUCAAUCACUCAUCAGGGACUUUUUUAUACAGAUAAAAGAUCCUCCAUUUUGCCAGAUUUAUUAUUUUAGGGU